GUCACGGACGGAUAACGAAAGAAGGAGCAAAGAUUGAGAAAUUUAGAGUAGCCGCCUUUCUUUUCCUCUCAGAGAACGAUACUUUUACCAUCAAAAAGUGCUACCACCUCCAUUAAAUGAAAUCAUGUAAAUGACCUCCUGCAAAAUCCGUAAAAUCAGCUAAAAAAAAACAUUCCUUUCUCAGCAAAAUUGCUAGUUUAACCCAUUAAAUCACCUUAGAAGUUUCUAGUUUCACCCAUUAAAACACGCACAGAGGUUCCCAAAAUUGGAGGAGAUCGAGUGAAGGUGCUGGCGAGUUUCGGCUGAGAUUCAAGGUCCGUUGGGAAUUUUUCUUGCUAUUUUGAUUCUUCUGUACCGAAAGAAAUUAGAUUUUUCAAUACAAAAGGAUCACUAGCGAAAUUUUAGUGGAUUGUUGUUGUUAUAUUCGAGAGGAUCAGGGUGGAGUUGAAGGAUGCAUUGAUUGGUAGCAACGUGCAGAGAGUGGUGCUUAUAAAUGCCGUCAACUUGAAGUAACAACUAGCUUUUGCAUUUAAUUCAUCUAUCAAAUUUCAGAUUCAAUAAAUGAAAAAGGCAGGAUACCAACUCUAGUUUGAAGAAAUUACAAGCAGCUCGAAGCUAAACGUAGCUUCAGCAUUUCAUGUGGAUGAUGAUUAAUGGGAAGUAAAAGGAAUUAAUAGA